rnacentral:rRNA from 1 species
AGGAUGAACGCUGGCGGCGUGCCUAAAACAUGCAAGUCAUACGGGCUACCUUCGGGUAGCCAGUGGCAAACGGGUGAGUAACACGUGGGAACUCGCCCUUCAGUGGGGAAUAACGCUGCGAAAGCAGUGCUAAUACCGCAUACGCUCGUGAGAGUAAAGGAGCAAUCCGCUGAGGGAGAGGCCCGCGUCCGAUUAGUUAGUUGGUGGGGUAACGGCCUACCAAGACUUUGAUCGGUAGCUGGUCUGAGAGGAUGGUCAGCCACACUGGGACUGCGAACGGCCCGGACCCCUACGGGAGGCAGCAGUUAGGGAUUUUCGGCAAUGGACGCAAGUCUGACCGAGCGACGCCGCGUGCAGGAUGAAGCCUUUCGGGGUGUAAACUGCUUUAGCAGGGAAGAUGAUGACGGUACCUGUUGAAUAAGCAUCGGCUAACUACGUGCCAGCAGCCGC